UACGAAGGGGGCUAGCGUUGCUCGGAAUUACUGGGCGUAAAGCGCACGUAGGCGGCUUUCUAAGUCGGGGGUGAAAUCCUGGAGCUCAACUCCAGAACUGCCUUUGAUACUGGGAGACUUGAGUCCGGGAGAGGUGAGUGGAACUGCGAGUGUAGAGGUGAAAUUCGUAGAUAUUCGCAAGAACACCAGUGGCGAAGGCGGCGCAGUGGCCCGGUACUGACGCUGAGGUGCGAAAGCGUGGGGAGCAAACAGG
rnacentral:rRNA from 1 species